CAACUUUCAACAAUGGAUCUCUUGGUUCUGGCAUCGAUGAAGAACGCAGCGAAAUGCGAUAAGUAGUGUGAAUUGCAGAAUUCAGUGAAUCAUCGAAUCUUUGAACGCACAUUGCGCCCCUUGGUAUUCCAUGGGGCAUGCCUGUUCGAGCGUCAUUU
rnacentral:rRNA from 17 species